GCUUGCGUCGUUGCCCCGGUACCGCCGCCAGAGGGAGCGGUGGUCGCCUCAGUUGCCCAGCCGCGGACCAGUCCCGGAAAUGGAGGGGUUCGCCGUACAAGAUAGCUGCUUUAUUUAUGGUUAUACGAAAUGCUGAGAACUGGGAAAGGGUUAUUACAACUCAGGUUUCUCAUAAAAGAUGGCUGCCGCGGAGUUUCCAGGUUUCUUUCCUUGAAAGGAAAGGUGGCCAAAAAUACAAGAUGGCGGCCCGCACUGCCGGGCUUCCUCAGAGAGAGGCGCUGGCCCAUGCGCGCUCGAAGCGUGGCCCGCCCCUCGGCCAGACCUACGCUUCCUGGCCGGUUCCCCCCUACCAUGGAGCGGUGGGACGUGGCUUAUAAGGAGGGUCUUUAUGUUUGGAAUCUAUUCAAAUGCGGCUAACGACAAGCAAGGGUGGGGGGCUCCCUCCAGAGACUUGCCGUCCAGGCAGUUCUGGAGACACAAGAUGGCGUUUAUUGAUACCUUGAUGUGGCGCGUUAAAGCGACUUCCCCUCCCAACAAUUGAGAGAGGUGGGCAAAAUGGGGAUUCAUGGUAACCUCAAACCGGCUCGCAUAGACAAAGACCCUUUAUGUUGUCAGGCACGAAACCAGGGACUGGUGAAAUAGUCUAUCCUUUCAGAGGAAUAAUCUAUCGUUAGAAAGAACAAAACAGUUUAUAUGCUGCUGUUGAACCAAAUCCAAGGUGGUUGUUGCUGUUCGGUGCUUUCAAGUCGGUUCCAGUUCAUGGUGACCCUGUGUACAGCAGAACAAAACGCUGCCCAGUCCAACACCAUCCUCACAUUUGUGGCUAUGUUUGAGCCCAUUGUUCCAGCCACAGUGUCAAUCCAUCUCGUUGCGGAUCUUCCUCUUUUUGGAUGACCUUCUACUUUACCAUGCGUAAUGUCCUUCUCCAGGGACUUGUCCCUCCUGAUAACAUGUCCAUAGUAUGUGAGAUGAAGUCUUGCCAUCCUCGCUUCCAAGGAGAAUUCUGGCUAUACUUCUUCGAAGACAGAUUUGUCUGUUCUUCUGGAAGGCCACAGUGUAUACAAUACUUUUCACCAACACAAUAAUUUAAAGAUACCAGUUCUUCAGUCUUCCUUAUUUAUUGUCCAGCAUGCGUAUGAGACAAUUGAAAAUACCAUGGCUUGGGUUAGGCGCACCUUAAUCCUCAAGGUGACAUUUUUGCUUUUUAACACUUGAAAGAGGUCUUUUGUAGCAGAUUUGCCCAGUGCAAUACAUUGUUUGAUUUCUUGAAUGCUGUUUCCAUAGGCAUUGUUUGUGGAUCCAAGUAAAAUGAAACCCUUGACAAUGUCAGUAUUUUCCCCAUUUAUCAGGAUGUUGCUUACUGGUCUGGUUGUAAUAGUUUUUAUUUUCUUUAUGUUGAGGUGUAAUCCAUACCGAAGGCUGAUAUUGUUUCAUCUUUAUCAGCAAGUGCUUCAAGCUCUCUUCGUUUUCAGCAAGCAAGAUUGUGUCACCUGCAUAUCGCAGAUUCAGACUAGCUGCUGAUUGUUUCCAGCCUGCACCCUAGAGGAUGCAACCAGGUUGGAAGUCCAGGCCAAAGUACCUGUCAGACCUCCCAAGCUCUCUCAACAACAGACCAGUCCAUCAGAGGGGAACCAGGAUCUGGUGGAUGGCCACAGCCACCAAGAGGAAGUGGGCUGAAAGGUUUUUCACUUCUGCAAAGAUAUUCUUACUGGACGCCUUUCAGAGAGGAAGCCCUGGAGUCUGUAUGUAAGACAAAUAAGGUGGGGGUAGAAGCGGGGUGGGAAAAACACCAGCCAGGAUUGAAUUCCACCUUUGUCACUGACCACUGCCAGCCAUGUGACCCUGACAGGUCAUUUCAACCUUUUGACCCUCACUUCUCAUUCUAAAGUGGGAGCAAAAAUAAGUAAUUCCUAGGGUUGUCAUGAGGACUAAAUGAGAUCUUGCUGUGGGCUUCCCAAAUGUCUGGAAUUUGUAUGUACCUGCAUGGUUUUUGCAAUCUCUUCUACUCUGUUUUUACCGGAUGUUAUUGUAGUUAGGUUGAGUCAGUUCCAGCUCAUCGUGACCCUGUGUACAACAGAAUAAAACACUGCCCUAUCCUGUGCCAUCCUCACAAUCGUGGCUAUGUUUGAGCCCAUUGUUUCAACUACUGUGUCAAUCCAUCUUGCUGAGGGUCUUCCUCUUUUUCACGGACCCUCUACCAAGCAUGAUGUCCUUCUUCAGGGACUGGUCCCUCCUGAUAACAUGUCCAAAGUACAUGAAGUGACACCAUCCUAGCUUCUAAGGAGCAUUCCGGGUAUACUUCUUCCAAGACAGACUGGUUCAUUUUUCUGACAUUCCGUGAUAUAGUCAAUAUUAUUCACCAACACCAUAAUUCAGAGGCAUCAAUUCUUCUGUCUUCCUUAUUCAUUGUCCAGCUUUCCCAUGCAUAUGAGGUGACUGAAAAUACCAUCACUUAGGCGAGGCACACCUUAGUCCUCAAAGUGAUGUCUUUGCUUUUUAACAUUUUAAACAGGUCUUUUGCAGCAGAUUUGCCCAGUGUAAUACAUCAUUUGAUCUCUUGACUGCUGCUUCCACAGGCAUGUAUUGUGGAUCCAAAUACAAUGAAAUCUUUGAAUAAUAGUCGUAUUAACUGAUCUUCCUUGUAGAAGUAUGGAUGUUAUCCUAUCACUGACAAUGUUGUACUUCGGAAUAGAUUUUGAAGUGUUCUUUUUGACAAUGAAUGUGAUGUUAUUCCUCUUCGAUUUGUCAUUUGGGGCAUAGUAGACCAUAUGAUUGCCCAAUUCAAAAUGACCAACACCUGUCCAUCUCAGCUCACUAAUGCUUAGGAUAUCAAUCUUUAUACAUUCCAUUUCAUUUUGACUACUUUCAAUUUUGCUAGAUUCAUAACUUCAUACAUUUCACAUUCCAAUUAUUAAUGGAUGUUUGCAGCUGUUUCUUCUCAUUUUAAGUCAUGCCACAUCAGGGAAUGCAGGUUCCAAAAGCUUUGUUCCUUCCAUGUCAUUAAGGUCAAUUCUACUUUGAGGAGGCAGCUCUCCUUCCAACCUGAGGGGCUUAUUUUCCAGCACUACAUCAGGUAGUGUUCUGCCGCUGUUCAUAAGCCUUUCACUGGCCAGUUUUUUUGAAGUAGAUCACCAGGUCCUUCUUCCUAGUCUUAGCCUGGAAGCUCCACAGAAACCUAAUGGGUGACGCUGCUGAUAUUUGAAAUACUGGUGGCAUAGCUGCUAACAUCACAGCAACACGCAAGCCACCACAGUGUGACAAAUUGACAGAUGAACUAAAUACCUAAUAACUAAUAUUUUCCCCUAAUUAGUUUACUUUUUAAACAUAGCCAGGUCCUGAAGUAAACUGUCAAGUUAGGUUUAUUUGACAGGUUAUAUUUUCCUACUUUAAAAUAAGUAUAUGAUGAUUAAAAUGAAAGAUCUUCAUCUAUGUACCACAGUGGAAUUAUAGAUGCUAAGUGAUCACUCUACACUAUCCCCCUCUUCCCCUAUACACAUCCUCCGUUUAACCCCCACAGCAUUUUUUGUUGGGAAAUGAAAGAGGCACAAAUUCUUAGUGACCACAGGUAUUUUAAGUGAUUGAGCAUGUUGUUGUAGAUAAUUGUCCUGAGUCAUGACCAGCAUUGUAUAAACUGCACCUUUGGGUGUAGAAGGGAGGAUCGAUGUGUCAGAAGCAUGAUCCCUGCAGAGAAGGCUGUGUUUAUGGUUUGCCUUACUUGCUGUCAGAAAUGGACUGUUCUCUAUCUGCAGCAAGCCAUGCCACGGGAGCUUUCUGGUGGGGGUGUCCACGUUGCCUCCUGGGCAUAACAGCAACAGGGUCUCCAGAACAUGAGCCAGAGCCUGAAUUAGAGCCACUUUUCAGGUGGAGUGCAUCUGUGCAAACCGUUCCAACUGUAUGUCCUCCGCAUUAAUCAGGGUUUAGUUACAGGAAACAGAAACCAUUCUAGCCAUCUUAAGCAGAAGUGGAUUUAAUAUAGGGGAUUAGAUGCUUAUAGAAUAGUUGGAGAGUCCAGAGGAAUGGGCUCUAGGCAGGCCUCCAGGAAUGACUCCCAGAACAGCACAGCAGAACAGGCCCACUGUGGAGUUAUAGCACUUUCUAUACUCUGGAAACGGGGGAUUCAGGAAGUUGUUACCGGAACUGUGAUCCAGAGAUGAGGAAGACUCUGCCAUCACUGCUGUAACUGUCUUUUGUUGUCUUUUAGCUUCCACAAAGCCACUGAACACUAGAAUGUUGCUGCUGAAACCUAGUGUCUCCCUGGCAAUGCUGGUCAACAGUAACAACCAGGCAGCAGCAGAGAAGAUAGCCACCACUCAGUCCUAGCUGCUACGUCAUACAUCAGUGCAUUUAACUGGUGGAGCUCUUAUCCAGGAUUCCAGCUGUGAGGAAUGCUGGGAAAUAUAGUUUCAGCUUUCUAGCCUUUGCAGCAUGGGAAGGCACACUCGGAGGUUGAAAUGAAUGAUGAGAGCCAGUUCACCUUUCCCAACACACUUUGACAAAUGAAUUACCUUCCUCUCCAAGACCUGGGCCCAUCCUGUCACUCCAGCCUCAUCCCCAGAUACUUGUUCAACCCACGUGCACCAUGUGUUCAACUACAAUGAAUUGCUCAAGUGCCUCCAACACUUUCUACCUUUGCUUAAGAUGUUCUCUUCACCUGGAAUGCUCUUUCUAGCUUUUUCCACCAGAUGAGUUUGCAUUGCCUUUUCUUACAAGCAGGAAAUCCUGGUGGCAUAGUGGUUAAGAGCUACAGCUGCUAACAAAAAGGUUAGUGGUUCGAAUCCACCAGGUGCUUCUUGGAAACUCUAUGGGGCAGUUCUACUCUGUCCUGUAGGGUCGCUAUGAGUUGGAAUCGACUCAACAGCAAUUGGUUUGUUUUUUUUCUUAGAAGCAGAAACCCUGGUGGUAUAGUGGUUAAGUGCUACAGCUGUUAACCAAAAAGGUCAGCAGUUCAAAUCCACCAGGCGCUCCUUGGAAACUCUGUGGGGCAGUUCUCUGUCCUGUAGGGUCACUAUGAGUUGGAAUCUACUAAACAGCAAUGGGUUGGGUUGGAUUCUUAGAAGCUUUUUCUUAUCUCCUGGGGAAAAAAGUCCUGUUCUGAGCUCCUAUAGCUUUUUGUGUAUACCUUGUGUAAUGCUUUAUUUACAUGUUUGUCUCCCACACUAGACCAAAAGGGAAGAGAACAUGUCUGGUUUAUCUUUGUUUGCACAGCUAAUCAAGGUCUGGGCCAAUUCCAUUUAGCUCCUGGUAUAUAAAACUGAAGACAAAAAAAGCAUAGCAAAAUUUCUGGUACAGUUUAAAGGUUUAAGUUUGCCUACUUAAUGCUUUUAUCACAAAAAUGAUGACACAAUAUAAUCAAGAUAGUUUUUAAAUAAGUACAGAAACAUUUUAGGUAGAUAAAUUCAUAGAUCAUUAAAAAAGUAUUAAAAAAAUAGGUAUUGGAAUUUGUGGAAGAGAAUGCUAAUUUCCUCCUCCCCCCAUCAGUUCUCUACUUUUCGUGACCCCAAUUUUUACAUGGGUACAUGGUCAACCAGAACAAAUACUACAUUUCCCAGACUCCGUUGCAGCUAAAUGUGGCCAUAUUAUUAAGUUCUGGCCUAUAGGAUGUGGAACCAAGUAACAUGCACAACCUCAGGUGCUCAAAAAGAGAAGAAGCAUUUUCCCUAUUUCCAAUAGCCUGGGGUAUGGACAAGAUCAUGGGCCCGCUUGGGCCAUACAGACUAGGGAUAGUUCAGCAAAAAUAUAGUAGGACUUUGGCUCCCUGAUACUGUGAAGCUGGGCUAUUAAUAUACAAGAAAGAAAGAAACUUCUAUCUAUGUAAGUCACAAAUAUUUUGGUUCUCUGUUAGAGCUCUGAAAGUCUAUCCUAAUUAAUCCACAGUCAAAACUAUGGAAUUGUAUGAUAAGCACUGUAGAUAGUGUUAAAAGUCUAUAUGUACAUGCUAUAACAUGGAUGAACCUCGAAGACAUUAUGCUGAGUGAAAUAAGUCAGUCACAAAAGGACAUCGUAUGAACUCAAUUAUAUGAAAUUGCAAGAACAGGUAAAUAGAUGGAGCCCAAUGAUUAUUAGUGGUUUCCAGGGGUAUGAUGGGGGAGAGAGAAGGGGGAUCAAUUUCUGGUAAGUAGUGAAUUUUUGUUUAUGACGGUGGGAAAACUGGUAUCAACUAAAGGUGAUGGUUACACAAUUUGAUCAAAUGUAACUGAUAUCACUAAAAAAAAAAAGAAAAAAAAUUUUUUUUUCUAAGAUAUACUCCAAAAGAAGAGUGAAAUGGCAAAUAUAGUGUUAUAAAUAAUUUUGCAACAACAACAGCCAAAAAUAGAUAAAUAAAAAAUAGAGGCAGCAGUUGUUGAUACUACUUAGGUAUAAACAAAUACCUCAUGAGAUGAAUUUUCUAGGUUCUUUUUAAGGUUUAGGGUCAUGGUUUUGUGGAUCUGUCCAGUCAACUGGCGUAAUAUUGUUUUUAGAGUCUCAGUUCUACCUCCUAGUUCGGUGAGUAGUGCCUGGGGUCUUAAAAGCUUGCCAUCAGCCAUCUAAGAUACAAUAGUUGGUCUCUAUUCACCCAGAACAGCAGAGGAAGGAGACCCAGUAAUAAAAGAAUGAAAUGGACUAUAGGUCUAACUACCUCCAUGAACUACUACCUCCGCCGCUAUGAGACCACAACAGGUUGGUGCCCAGAUACCAUUAUUGAACGUUUUAAUCAAGGAUCCAGUAGAUGGAUCCUGAUCAAAAAGAAAAAAAAUGUGGAACAGAAUUUCAAACUCUUACAGAAACCAGACUUACUGUACGCAUUGAUACUGAGAGAAACCUCAAAUCUAUUGCCCUGAGAUAAUCUUUAAGCCUUGAACUGAAACUAUCCAAUGAAAUCAUCUUCAGGCUAAACAAUGGUUCAGCUCAACUGUUAAAAAAUGUUCACCUUCAGAAGUGCACUCUUUUAAAGAAUUAUCUAUAUGAGAUCAAAUUGACAACAGUAAUCUAAAACAGGAAAAGUUUAGGGGACAGAAAGUCUAAGUUAAUGGUGAUGAAACAAUAUGGGUAGAGUUAGGGAGAUUGGUGACACAACAUGCAGAAUGUAAUCAAUGUACAUGUAGAAAAUGUUGAAUGAUUGUUUUGUUAUGUAUAUUUUCACACACACGCACACACACAAAGUCUAAAUAUAAGACCUAUUUGUGAAUGUGAGGCCCAGGCCAAAUGUUCUUCCUGGGUUCCCUGUAACAGGUGCUAGACUCAGACAUGGGGCAUAUGCUCAAUAUAGGAAAGAAUUAGUGACCUAAGAGGUCAUAUGUGUUUUUUCAGUCUGUCUCAGGAGCUCUUUUGGCAAGGUAGCCUAUUCUCAACUUUGAAGGUACUCCAACAAGAGAGAAAUCUCAUUACACAGAGAUGUUCAUCACAGUGCUAUAUACACUAAGGUAACAAAUCAGCAUGGGAAGGGUUAAAGCAAUAAUAAUUCAUGUAUUCAAAGGAAAAUCGCAGCCAUUAAAAUGAUGACCAUUAUGUAGCUAUGUGGAGCCCUGGGGCACAGUGGUUAAGAGCCACGGCUGCUAAUCAAAAGGUCGGCAGUUCAAAUCCACUAGCCACUCCUUGAAAACUCCAUGGGGCAGUUCCGCUCUGUCCAGUGGGUCACUAUGAGUGCGAAUUGACUCUAUGGCAACGAGUUUCUGAUUUUAUGUAGCAAUGUACAAUGAGCUUUGAAGUAAUACUAAAUCAAGAAAGACGGGUUAUAAAAUGCUACAAAGUAUGUAUACAAAAAGAACAAAAAUAUCCUGAUCACCUACUGUGUGUUAGGCCUUCUGCUAAGUCUUAAGGAUACAGAAAUGAAUAAAAUAUGGUCCUGAUGUGGGUCCGUCGUGGUUUGUUAUUGUUAGCUGCCGUUUAGUCUACUCCCUUCCCUAUGCCCAAUGGAACGAAAUGCUGCCUGGUCCUGUGCCAUCCCCAUGAUGGGUUGAGGAUCAAACAGUUGUGAUCCAUAGCAUUUUCCUUGGCUGGCUUUUCAAAGUAGAUUACUAGGCCUUCCUUCCUAGUCUGUCUUAGUCUGGAAACUCUGCUGAAACCUGUUAAAUAUAGCAAUGUGAAAGUCCCCAUUGAUAGACAGGUGGUAGCUGCACAUGAGGGGCAUUGGCUGGGAAUUGGAUCUGAAUCUCUGUUAUGGGAAUUGGAUCUGAAUCUCAGUUAUGAUACCUGCCCUCAAAACCCUUUUACUGGGAGCCACCCAGUAGCUGUCUAUCAGUUUGAAGGGGUGUUGUUUUGCAGCUUUUGCCAAUUUCUGUGGUAUAAAUUUUUUCACCACGGUUGAUUUCAAGCUACCAAUGAAAUUUCCCUGAACACAGCGUUGGAAAGAGAUGUACACGAUUGACAGUGCAAGCUGGCUCCAGCAUAUCCCUGGAGCCUCCUACCCCUAAUGUCUAACAGUCUGAAAAUGGUUGUUAAAUAAAUAAAAAUGCAUUCAUAGAAUGGAAUGCUGUACAUUCAUGGGAAGAUAAUACUUUAGAAUAAUUAAUCAUAUGGGGAAAAGUUCAGGUUUUACGUUCAAGUUUAAAAAACAAGGCAGAAAGAGGUUGGUGAAAUGGCAGUAUAAGGAUUCCAAAAAUUCUCUCCUCCAUAAAAGGAACCAGAAAACUGGCAAAAAUUGUCAGAAACAACUUUUUGAGAACUGUGGAAAUUAACCAAAGGCUUGCAGCUGCCCAAGGAGCAUUUAUUCAAGAAAAAGAGUGGGUCACAGUAAGAGUAAAAAGCUUUGUGGCAUUCUAACUUGCUCUAGAUAUACCCACCACGCCAGCUCUGCAGUACAUUCCUGGUGUAGCCUGGCAGCCACCGGAGGAAACAAAACAGAGCUGGAGCCCUUUCAAAGCCUCUUCUCUAAGGAAUUGUCAUUAUUUGACCUGUGUAGUGCUUCCCUGGAAGACCACACUUGCAAGGCCGUCUAUAUUUGACCUGACUUGGAGCUGACCCAGUAUGAGAAAUCUUCUCUGUAGGGAGUGUUUUUUUUUAAUAUGUGUAUUAUUUAUUUAUUUCUACUCUUUCAUUGUGAUAAAAAUUUAUACAACAAAGCCUUUGCCAAUUUAACAAUUUUUACAGGUACAAUUCACUGACAUUGAGUACGUUCGCCAUGUUGUACAACUAUCACCACUAUCUGUUUCCAGUUUAUUCCAUCACCAUUAACAGAAACUCACUGCCCCCAAAGCAAUGACUCCCCCUCUCACCCCGGUAACCACUAAAAAAUUUUGGUCUCUAUACAUUUGCCUACUCUAGGUGUUUCAUGUACGUGGGAUCAUAUAAUAUUUGUCUUCUUGUGACUGACUUAUUUCACUCAGCAUAAUGUUUUCAAGGUUCAUUCGUGUAGUAGCAUGUAUCAGGACUUCAUUUUUUUCAUUAGGGCUGAGUAAUAUUCCAUUACAUGUAUAUAACACAUUUUAUGUAUCCAUUCAUCUGUUGAUGGACAUUUAGGUUCAUUCACCUUUUGGUUAUUGUGCUUAAAUGAACAUUGGUGUACAAGUAUCUGUUUGUAGGGAGUGUUUUUUAAAACAAUUACAGGCAAGUGUUUUAACUUUAUGGCUGCCUAAGGCAGCAUGGGAGCCCUGCUGGAGCAGUGGUUAAGGGCUUGGCUGCUAACCUAAAGGUCGAUGAUUGGAAGCCCUCAGCUACUCCAUGGGAGAAAAAUGUGGCAAUCUGUUUCUGUAAAGAUUUACAGCCUUGGAAACCCUAUGGGGCAGUUCUAUUCUAUCCUACAGGGUUGCUAUGAGUUGGAAUCAACUCGAUGAUGACAGGUUUGGUUUUGUUAAGGUAGCAUAUAACAGUUGGGGCAGACAACAGACUAACCAAAAAGCUUAAAAGGAAAAGUUGAGGAAUGAGAUGGUUAUGUUGUUGUUGAUAGAUGCCAUCGAGUUGGUUCCGACUCACAGUGACCCUACGUGCCACAGAAUGAAACACUGCCCAGUCCUGUGCCAUCCUCACAAUCAUUGCUAUGCUUGAGCACAUUGUUGCAGCCACUGUGACAAUCCAUCUUGUUGAGGGUCUUCCUCUUUUCUGCUGACCCUGUACUUUACCAAGCAUGACAUCCUUCUCCAGUGACUGGUCCCUCCUGACAACAUGUCCAAAGUAUGUAAGACGCAGUCUCGCCAUC